GGAAUAUUGGGCAAUGGGCGCAAGCCUGACCCAGCGACGCCGCGUGAGGGAUGAAGGCCUUCGGGUUGUAAACCUCUUUCAGUAGGGAAGAAGCGAAAGUGACGGUACCUAAAGAAGAAGCACCGGCUAACUAUGUGCCAGCAGCCGCGGUAAUACAUAGGGUGCAAGCGUUGUCCGGAAUUAUUGGGCGUAAAGAGCUCGUAGGUCGUUUGCCGCGUCGAUUGUGAAAAUCUGAGGCUCAACCUCAGACCUGCAGUCGAUACGGGCAAACUAGAGUGUGGUAGGGGGGACUGGAAUUCCUGGUGUAGCGGUGGAAUGCGCAGAUAUCAGGAGGAACACCAAUGGCGAAGGCAGGUCUCUGGGCCAUAACUGACACUGAGGAGCGAAAGCGCGGGGAGCGAACAGGAUUAGAUACCCUGGUAGUCCGCGCCGUAAACGAUGGGCACUAGCUGUGAGAGCCUUCCACGGUUCUCGCGACGCAGCAAACGCAUUAAGUGCCCCGCCUGGGGAGUACGAUCGCAAGAUUAAAACUCAAAUGAAUUGACGG
rnacentral:rRNA from 1 species